GAGUUUGACGGGGGCGGUACACCUGCCAAAGCGUAACGCAGGUGUCCGAAGGCGAGCUCAGGGGGGACGGAAACCUCCCGCCGGGCAGAAGGGCAGAAGCUCACUUGAUCUUGAUUAGGUGUUCAAGGAACGUGUGGACGUGGCACUGCGGGACAUGGUUUAGUGGGCAUGGUG
rnacentral:ncRNA from 1 species